rnacentral:lncRNA from 1 species
UUAUGUUGUGUAAAACUGUUGUGUAAAAAAAUUGCGUCAUUUCUGCCCAAUAUUGAGCAAAAUGACAAUUUCGCUUGUACCUCCUACUUGUGUCAAAUGUGUUACACAUGAAAAGGGUAAAAUAGUACCCAACAUUGACUACAAGUCCCUGCAGCACAGGCAAAGAGUUCAAAUCAUGGUGUUAUUACCCAAGUGAUGGGUUAAAGAAACUGGAUUUACCCCACCGCUGUGUAACAAUUAUUUCAUUGCACACGUUGAAGAGUAGAAUUUACCAUGACAUUAGUAAAAUGUUACCACUGUGUGGGGUAAACUGACGCACGUGACAAUGUUUACCCAAUAUUGUGCACGCGUCAUCACUCAUGUACAAUAUGGCCGCCGCUUGUGAGACCUUCAACAAUUUGGGGAUUUUGAUGACGUGAUUUCUUUGUUCCAGGACUCAGUUAUUGAAAUCCCUCGCGAUUGCUGUCUCUAGCAUGCAAUUCACAUUGCAGAGUUCAAAGUUGAAUAAAACCGCAAGGAUCAAUAACAAAGGUACACAACAAC